GGGGCUGAAUUUUAAGCUCGACGAAGGUACUUUACCAACUAGUUCGCAGGCCGCUUGUCAGCGUUAUAGACAAACUACAUUAGAUGCAAAAACAUCUUUUAGCGAAAAGUUAGCUGCUUUGAAUCCGUUCAAACAGUUGGCCUACGCACCAGUUAGAGUUUAAUUACUUCUAGCCGCGCCAAAUGCGACACCAGAUAGUGUUCACGGCGUGUCAUAUCAUCUGGUUGCAGUAAGUUUAUUGCCCAUAAACUUACCUAAGAAUUCGGGCUAAGAGAUGUUGCUUUUUGGCCGUUUACCGGUAGCAUUUACGAAAAUUUUUAAGCGGCCUACGCCUGUAGAAGACUAGCUAGGUAAACCAUCGGACGCGGGGGCGGUACCCGCCAGCUCCACCA
rnacentral:tmRNA from 1 species